rnacentral:rRNA from 1 species
GAGAACUUUCCAGAGAUGGAUUGGUGCCUUCGGGAACUCUGAGACAGGUGCUGCAUGGCUGUCGUCAGCUCGUGUUGUGAAAUGUUGGGUUAAGUCCCGCAACGAGCGCAACCCUUAUCCUUUGUUGCCAGCGGUUAGGCCGGGAACUCAAAGGAGACUGCCAGUGAUAAACUGGAGGAAGGUGGGGAUGACGUCAAGUCAUCAUGGCCCUUACGAGUAGGGCUACACACGUGCUACAAUGGCGCAUACAAAGAGAAGCGACCUCGCGAGAGCAAGCGGACCUCAUAAAGUGCGUCGUAGUCCGGGUUGGAGUCUGCAACUCGACUCCAUGAAGUCGGAAUCGCUAGUAAUCGUGGAUCAGAAUGCCACGGUGAAUACGUUCCCGGGCCUUGUACACACCGCCCGUCACACCAUGGGAGUGGGUUGCAAAAGAAGUAGGUAGCUUAACCUUCGGGAGGGCGCUUACCACUUUGUGAUUCAUGACUGGGGUGAAGUCGUAACAAGGUAAGCGUAGAUGA